CCUACGGGAGGCAGCAGUGGGGGAUAUUGCACAAUGGGGGGAACCCUGAUGCAGCGACGCCGCGUGGGUGAAGAAGCGCCUCGGCGCGUAAAGCCCUGUCAGCAGGGAAGAAAAUGACGGUACCUGAAGAAGAAGCCCCGGCUAACUACGUGCCAGCAGCCGCGGUAAUACGUAGGGGGCAAGCGUUAUCCGGAUUUACUGGGUGUAAAGGGGGCGCAGACGGCGAUGCAAGCCAGGGGUGAAAGCCCGGGGCCCAACCCCGGGACUGCUCUUGGAACUGCGUGGCUGGGGUGCAGGAGGGGCAGGGGGAAUUCCGGGUGUGGCGGUGAAAUGCGUGGAUAUCAGGAGGAACACCGGUGGCGAAGGCGGCCUGCUGGACUGCAACUGAGGUGGGGGCCGGAAGGCGUGGGAGCAAACAGGAUUAGAUACCCGAGUAGUC
rnacentral:rRNA from 1 species